GAUGAACGCUGGCGGCGUGCUUAACACAUGCAAGUCGAACGAGAAGUGAAGACGGAAACCUUCGGGCGGAAGGCUUUAUUUCGAGUGGCGGACGGGUGAGUAACGCGUGGGUAACCUGCCUCAUACAGGGGGAUAACAGUUGGAAACGACUGUUAAUACCGCAUAAGACCACAGCACCGCAUGGUGCGGGGGUAAAAACUCCGGUGGUAUGAGAUGGACCCGCGUUCGAUUAGCCAGUUGGCGGGGUAACGGCCCACCAAAGCGACGAUCGAUAGCCGAUCUGAGAGGAUGACCGGCCACAUUGGGACUGAGACACGGCCCAAACUCCUACGGGAGGCAGCAGUGGGGAAUAUUGCACAAUGGGGGAAACCCUGAUGCAGCGACGCCGCGUGAGUGAAGAAGUAUUUCGGUAUGUAAAGCUCUAUCAGCAGGGAAGAAAAUGACGUUACCUGAGGAAGAAGCCCCGGCUAACUACGUG
rnacentral:rRNA from 1 species